UACGUAGGCAGCGAGCGUUGUUCGGAAUUACUGGGCGUAAAGAGUGUGUAGGCGGUGUUCCCAGUCUGUUGUGAAAUCUCCCGGCUUAACUGGGAGGGGUGCAGCGGAAACUAGAAUGCUAGAGGGUGGGAGAGGUAAGCGGAAUUCCUGGUGUAGCGGUGAAAUGCGUAGAUAUCAGGAGGAACACCUGUGGUGUAGACAGCUUACUGGACCACUUCUGACGCUGAGACACGAAAGCGUGGGUAGCAAACAGG
rnacentral:rRNA from 1 species